rnacentral:lncRNA from 1 species
CUCUCGAAUAGAGACCCACGCACGGAAGGAUGAUACACUGUGAUUCCCCGACGUGGGCCUGCAGCAAGAGACGGGUGCUAACAGCGUCCGAGCCAAUCCGUGCUUAUCACACAUGCAGUCAAUGAACACCUCACAAAUGCAAGGUUCACAUGCAGUCUUCGAUGAACACAUCGAUCGCAUCCAGCAGUAUGUCUGUAUUGGAAAAGUCCUUCCAUAGCACCCAGUAAUGAAAAGGAAUGUGGCGGGGAGCAGUACUGGACAGUAAAACUAAAAACACCAGGAAGAUCACAGUGAGAUCAGCAGAGCCCUAGAAUGGCAAAUCCAUGACAAAGAAAAUUUCUGAUGAAUAAAAACGUGCCUGGGUCCAGGCCAGCAAUUGGCUUCUUUCAGACACUAUUGACUGCAACAAACCCUAGCACAAGGAGAGGGUCUAACGAGAAACUUGUUCAGAGGAUGCUGACCCAUCCAUCAGUGAGCACAGCCAACCCAAAAA